AUCUUAGGAAGCACAGGCCACCACAGACAAGAUGAGACCAUCAGUUGCAGUCUAGACACACCUACCAUCCUUCAGUCUCUGAAAGGAAGCAAGGCUAGUUCCUCCCCUAGGACCACUCUUCUCCUUCAUGCUUCAGCUCUGGAGGCCCUCACUGACACCCUCCCAUCUAAAUUAGGGGCACCUGCUGUACACUUUCAUAGUACCUCAUACUUUUCCUUUAUAGCAUUGAUUACAGUUUUUCCCCCUCUAUUUAUGUGGUUAUUUGUUUAAUGUCCACCUCUCUUACUAGACUAAGAAUCUUAAAAACAGUGCUUGGUGCAAAGCAGGUACUCAGUCAGGAUGUAUUUGAUGAGUGAAGUAGUAAGCAAAAUUAUACUUGAAUCAAUUUGUUCAUCCAUUCAUUGAAGUGCCUAAAAUGCACCAGGCACUGUGCUAGGGGGAUACAUAGAAUAGAGAGCUGUCUAAGGGGAGAGACAGACAAUAAACAUGCAAACAACAAUAAGACAAAUCCUGAAAUGCAGGAAAAAAGAUGAAACAAACCAGUGAAUGCAAUGAUUAUUGUGUCAUCUAAUACUUGAAGAUUUUAACAAAGCAAGUGUUUCUUCUGUGGCGAUCCCUGGUGGCCUCCAGACCUUCCAUUCAUGUGGCUUCUGACUCAGCUCAGCCCUGGUGUUGUUUCUGGGGAGGGUCCAUGUUCUUGGAGUGCUGCAGUAUUCAUUGCUUUGUCAUCAGUCAGAUGGGCUGGGAAUCUGGAUUCUGCGACUGACUAGCUGUGUGACCUCUAGCAUGUAACUUAAUCUCUUUGGGGCUUACCUUUUCCAUCUGGAAAACAGAAAGAAUAAAACUCUCAGAGUUGGUAUGAGGAUUAAAGAUAACACGUGGGCAUCAUUUAGGCUGACAUCCGCUAAAAGUGUGAGAAAACAGAAAACCCAACUCAGUCUGACUUAACAAUAUGGACACUUGACUUCCAUAAUAAGAAGUCCAGAAGUAGGUAGGACCCAGGGAACACAACUGUUUUAUUUUUCUUCCUCUUCUUUUUUCUCUUUAGGCUAGUCAAGUGAAGCAAUGGGAGUGGAGAUGGAACAAAGAAAUCUGCAAUUGGUUGUGAUCAAUUAGUUGUAAACACUACUGCACUUGGACCAACCUCUUCCUUUUCCUGACUGCUUAGGAAGGAUGGAAUGUAUUUCCUUCCUUCUGGGAGUGUUUGAAUGAAGAUUAGACUCUCCUUGACCAUGAAUGAAGAGCAACCAGUUUUUUAGUAUACAGUGAUUUAGACUCUGGGUCUAGAGUGUAGAUAUCAUGGGCACUGUGAAAGCACAGAAGGAGAAAAGGUUUUUAUUUUGGUGGGGCUUUGUGUCUGAAUUCUGGCCAAUGGAACCACGUGGAGGCCUGGCCCAGAACAUCUCCCUGUGGAUUCUCUCAUCUGGCAACUGGAUGCCUACACGAAGGGUGAUUUUGGAGUCAUGUGUUGGAGAUCACAAAGCUUUUGUCAGCCAGGUUCCUGAAUGACUGCUAGACACCAUGGGCUGAACUUUAUGAGCUCCAGCACCACCUCCAGCCUUCAGUGACUGUCUGGAGCAGGCAUCCGGAUGGAAGAGAAGGGGGACAACCAUGAACUUGGUGACCCACGGUCAGCCUGAUUUCCCUUGUGGACACAUUUAUGCCCAGUGUGCAUUCCUCCUGAGGUCUGUUCCAAGUCUGGAGGCAGCAGAGUAGAGUGGAGAGAACAGUGGACUUGGAAUCUCACCUCCCAGAUUAGAGUCCUGGAUCUGACUUUGAUUGCUGGUGCUGCCUCGGGCAAGUUACUUUAGCUGUGUGCAUCUCCAUUUCCCCAUGGAUAGAACAUGGGUUUUGGGUAGAAGUGUCUGAUAGCUGUACUGUGCUUUACGGUUCAUGAGCACGCACACAUAGGCCCAUAAUAUCAUAUCUCUGGUCACCCUGGCAGGUAGAUAUUAUUGCCCCAGGUUUCAGGUAAGAAGACUAAAGACCAGGGGUCAAUUGCUUGCUCAGAGUCCCACAGCCAGCAGCAGCCAGGCAGGACACCAAGUCAGAGUCUAGAUUCCGGAUCUUGCCCUCUUCCAAGUGUACCACAUUCUUCUCAAAGUGGCCUCUCAGGUCUUUUGUCCAGAAAAUUUUGAGACUUUGAUGAGAAGCCCAUAUCUGCACACUGGGGAUUAGGCCAGAUAACCCUGUGUGUCCUUCCAGGCCUGGUAUUGUGAGGCUGAAGCCUAGUGCCCCACACUCCCUUCCUCACCCCUUAGAGAAAGAUAGAGACUCCAGGGCCAGCCUGGUGGGUGCUGAACCUGCCCUGCUGAGCCAAGCCCAGGAGGCAGCCAAGGUCCUACCAGUGACCUUACCCUGGGGGCCCCUCCAGGUAGGAGCCUGGUUGGAAAAGACAGACCGACUUCUUCUGGGUUGGCUGGAAAAAGAUGACAUACUCAAAGCCUUGUCCUUCCACUUGGAUGCACCUGGUGAAGAUGCGACAGUCACCUUUGUCUGGGGAGAGAUAGGCAGUGUUGCAGCCGGAGAAGGGAGGGUAUGGUCAGGAUGCAGCACCAUUUGGUUGAGUCUUGCCUCUGGUACAAGAUUAAGGAGAGAAAACCAGAGGACACCAGGUCCACCCCCAGGGAGCCUUCCCUCUGGGAGCAGAGGCACAGUUGCUGUCCUCACAGAGCCUUUCUGUCUAGGGCAGAAACAUGCAGGAAGUGCCCUGGCUGAGAAUGGAGAUAGGAUCAGGGCCAGGGCAAGACUUUAAGAGACCAUAAGCAUUGAAAAUUGAAAAUGUAAUUACUCAUGUAACUCACAUAUAAUUCAAAAGAAUAAUAGUAAACAGUAAAAUAAGAGCAGAAAAGUCCAUCAAAGUUCUGAUUUUUUUUUUCCAAGACAGCUACCACUACUACAUCCUUUUUUGGAAGUAUCAAAUUCUUUGAAAAAAAAUUAUGUUGGUAUUCCUGCUUUGUUUGUGCCAUAAACCCAAGGGUAGUCUGUCCCCUGUACCACUCCUUCAUCACUAGGCAGGAAGACAACAUAUAUGAGUGAGAGAGACAGGGAGAUACACAUGCGUGCACACACGAGUGCACACACACACACAAGAAGGUGGAAGCUCUAUCAUUAGGAUCCAUUAGGAUCAUUAGGUGUUUCAGGAGUGCUGCUCCAGACCCCGCACAGCAGGGAUGAUGUGCAGGGCCUCAGUGGAAGGGGUGUGGGGUCCAAGGGCUUUCAUGGGGUUGGGGCGGAAGGCUUGGGAUGAGGCUUGAUAGUUAGGGAGGGGCAGUCAGUGAGAAGUCGGGGCAGGAGCUGGGCUGGCUGUCCUCCAGUGGGGACAUGCUUGGCUGGGAGCGAAGGUGGGCCCACCAGGGUGUGCUGCUUCAGAUGGGAGGAGGGGAGCUGGAGACCUGAGAGGACACCCGCCGCCUGUUGCCUGGGGCUGCAGCAUCAGGGGUGGAGUUGGACAGCAGGAAGAACUCGCUGAGAACUGGAAGGCGGUCUGUGAAGUUGCUUCUCAGUCUUAGAACACAGGGAAGGGCGGCUGGGGUGUGUGUACUCAUGGUCCUGUCCUUACCUGAGGAAACUGCCAGUCCAGAUGGGAGCUUGAGUCCCCGGAUGUGGUCUCUGUUGGACUUGAAGGAGGGCAGCUUGAUCCAGCCGCUAGACUUAGUCUUCUCCAGAAAUUCUUGGUACAGGCUCAGCAUGUCCGAACACCAGCUGGCAUUGGGAAGAGCAUAAUCCUUCAAGUCUGUCUUCUCUGGCAAGAAUCUUGAGAACUGGGCAGGAAAAAUCAGAAUGACUAGACAGCAUCCUGGAGGGGGGCUGCUGCCUGGGCUCGGGACCUCUAAACAGCUGUUCCUGGGUGCUGGGGCUUCUCAAUCCCUUCUGCCAGAGUAUCGAUCCAAGGGAAAGGGCCCAUAUUCCUUGCAGGGGGGCUGCGGACCCCUAUGGGUGACGGGGCAUAAGGAUGCUAAAGAGCAAGGGAAGGGCGGGCAGGGAGUGGGGCCAGAGAUGAUGGGCAUGCUGCUCGAUGUGGUGCCUUACCCUUGUUCUGCUUAAAACAUGUGAGCAGUUCUUUAAAGUUGACAACUGCUCAUAUUAGCCUCACUGUACAGAUGGGGAAACUGAGGGAAUACGGCCAAGGUUGCCAAGCAUGUGACUGUGAGAGCUGGUGGUCGCACUAGAUGCUGUCUCCUCUGCAGGGCAGGGUCACAGUUGUUGAGGACCAUUCUAGCAACCCCCACCUCAGGGGCUACUCCAGCUCUGCCCACUGCUGUGGGCCUGCCUGGGCAGGGUGGCUCCUUUGAAACACAUUUGGGCCCCCACAGAGGUGUGGUGCCAUGGCUGGGGCACAGACUAUGUGCCCAUCUGUGUGACGUAAGGAAGUCCUCUGUAGCGUCACCUGCUCAUACACCAGUCACAACUGUAGACAGCAUGUGAGCUGCUUGCCAAUGCCACAGAUGGGGUCCUCUGUCUGGGGAUACCCCAGCUUUGCUGCAGUAGUCUGAGUCCCACAGGAGGAAAGUCAUUUGUUGGUGGCCACACAAGACACAGAGCCAGAUGCAGGUCUCCUGGUAGUUUUAGUUUUGAAUGGGGGCAACUUGGUAUCCCAGAGCACUUUCUCUUUGCCAAAUCAAAUAGCUCCUCCGAACACUGCCCACCUGCCCUGGCCAUGGGCUGGGAAGAGGAGAUUUGGGGUGCUCCUUAAGCCCUAGGCUCCUGGGAAAACACUGCCCAUCUGGCUGAGCUGGGAACUCACCAUGGAGUCUGUGGAGGAUCCAAAUGCUGAGGCAGGGUUGAGUCUGGGCAGGAUACGGGGGGCCUCAAGAAGGCCUCUGUGGUGGCCAAGUCUUGCUGCCACCUGGAAGCAUCUCCUUAUCAUGGCCAAGUGCAAGGAUCCAGCCCUGCUUGGAUGGAGGGUCUUGGCUGACUCCCAAGGAGUGCUUUCAGCUGCACUUGGGGCCGCUUCUCUCCCUUCUGUUGCAGGCUUUCUUUCAGAGAGCUAGGCGAGGCUGGGCUGGUGUGCUGCAACACCCACAGAUGCUCGGCGCCUUUAGCUGGUCUAGGAGCCCCACCCAGUGCUUGGGGAGGGACAGAUGCUGCUUGGGCAUGAAAAGGCAGCAGGACUGGCUUGAGUUGCAAAAGGAGUAAACAAGUACAUAAACAAAUAGUAUGGGGUAUAUAGAGCCUUGGAGAGCUGCCUGGGGGUUCUGAGGGAGAAUCCAAGAAUAUUUCCAGAAGGAUAAGGGAAGCCUGUCCCUUGAUUGGAGGGUGCUGGUGGAGUGUUCUUGGUAUGUGCUCUGCAGUGUAUACCGGACUCUGAAAACUCUGGUAUGAUUUUGUGACUCAGAAAACCAACUCACAGGCCGGGUGCGGUGGCUCACGCCUGUAAUCCCAGCACUUUGGGAGGCCGAGGCGGCGGAUUACGAGGUUAGGAGAUCGAGACCAUCCUGGCUAACACGGUGAAACCCCGUCUCUACUAAAAAAAAUACAAAAAAUUAGCCGGGCGUGGUGGCGGGUGCCGGUAGUCCCAGCUACGCAGGGGGCUGAGGCAGGAGAAUGGCGUGAACCUGGGAGGUGGAGCUUGCAGUGAGCUGAGAUCUAGCCACCGCACUCCAGCCUGGGCGACUGAGCGAGACUCCGUCUCAAAAAAAUAAAAAUAAAAAAAUAAAAAAAAAGAAAACCAACUCACAGCCUUAGACACCUCUUUUUUUUUUUUUUUUUUUUUUUUGGUGAGACGGAGUUUCAAUCUUGUCGCCCAGGCUGGUGUGCAAUGGCGUGAUCUCGGCUCACUGCAACCUCCGCCUCCUGGGUUCAAGUGAUUCUCCUGCCUCAGCCUCCUGAGUAGCUGGGAUUACAGACACACACCACCACACCCAGCUAAAUUUUGUAUAUUUUUUUUAGUAGAGAUGGGGUUUUGCCAUGUUAGCCAGGCUGGUCUUGAACUCCUGACCUCAGGUGACCUCCCAAAGUGCUGGGAUUACAGGCGUGAGCCACCGCACCCGGCCAACACCUCUUCUUAUAUCCCGGACAAGGGUUAGCACAGGAGAGUUUCACCUGCUGGUCUCUGGCUGGGGAUAGGAGUUGGAGGUGGGGGAGGGCUUGACAGGGAGGGCAGAAAAUAAUUUGGGAGGAAACAGCUUGGCAGGGAUACUCUCAUUUUUAAAUUGACUAAAAUAAAAGCAUGUUCUAAAGAUCAGUCCUCGCGCAGUGGCUCAAGGCUGUAAUCUCAGCAUUUUGGGAGGCCGAGUGAGACCUUGUCUUAAAAAAAAAAAAAUCAGAACUGUGCAAAGGUGGAAUCAUAACAGUGAUGAUGACGAUAAUAAUAGUUGUGAUGAUUAUGACAUUUUGGCAGGUUCCAAAAGAUGAAACUGAUUUAAUGCGGAAAUUUAAAAGAUUUGGUUCACCCUCUGUAUUUGGUUGCCCUAGAAGAAGACUAGAAUAUAAAUAUUUCCCCUCACCUCCUGCAAAGGUUUGAAUUAAACUUCCUCAAGGACUGGGGGAACCAUUUUUUUUUGUUGUUGUUAUUUUGUCAGAGUCUCACUCUUAUUGCCCAGGAGUGCAGUGGCACCAUCUCGGCUCACUGCAACCUCUGCCUCCCAGGCUCAAGCAAUUCUCCUGCCUCAGCCUCCCAAGUAGCUGGGAUUACAGGCGCUUGCUACUACGCCCGGCUAGUUUUUAUAUUUUUAGUAGAGACGGGGUUUCAUCAUGUUGGCCAGGCUGGUCUCAAACUCCUGGCCUUGGCUGAUCUGCCUGCCUCAGCGUCCCAAAGUGCUGGGAUUACAGGCAUGAGGCACCACGCCCAGCUGGAAGUUUUUUUGGUUGAUUCAGCCUCUGGGUCUAAGCAAAGAUAUUUGAGUUGGUUGCCAUCCCCAGAUAAGUGAGAAUAUCUGGCAGCACUCAUUUUCAGCCCUGGGCCGCAGCCGUUGCUGUGAGGCAGAAAUUAAAAAAAGAUAGUAAGUACUACAUUCAUUCACUCCAAGAAAAGUAACAGACAAGGCUAUAAGAAGGUCAUAGUGACCUAGUCUGAGAAGUAAAAGCCAAGGCCCAGAAUGUGGCAAGGCAAAGGUUAAAAAGAAAGGAAGAGCAAGUUUUUCUCUGCCUAGCAAGCUCACUUCAAAGACAAUUAUAAGAUAAUGCUCUUCGAGAAGUCGAAACCAAAGGAAUAGGCUCCAGACAUCCCCCGUCUGGAGCAAGGGUGAAGGAAAAAAAAAAAAGGACAAAUGUCUGUCUGUAUUUAGCCAGUUCUUGUUUUUUCUUUCCACGCAGCUACAAGGCCACCAGCUAUGCAAAGCCACAAGUUAUGCCAAGUCAUCAGUUAUGCUAUAGAUUAUGUGACCUGUCAUUAUAUGAUUAACUGCCUGUUUUGCUUCUGUAAGCCUGCUUAUAAAAAUCCUGCUCAGUCUUUGUUCAAUGCUCAGCUUUUUGGAUGUGAAUCCACUGAGCCAAUGCCUACCUUAAAAUAAACAUCGUCCUGUUUUUCCAUA
rnacentral:lncRNA from 1 species